rnacentral:rRNA from 1 species
AUACGGAGGGGGCAAGCGUUGUUCGGAAUUACUGGGCGUAAAGGGCGCGUAGGCGGAUUAUCAAGUCAGAGGUGAAAGCCCUGGGCUCAACCUGGGAACUGCCUUUGAAACUGAUCGGCUCGAGUUCGGGAGAGGAUGGCGGAAUUCCCAGUGUAGAGGUGAAAUUCGUAGAUAUUGGGAAGAACACCGGUGGCGAAGGCGGCCAUCUGGCCCGACACUGACGCUGAGGCGCGAAAGCGUGGGGAGCAAACAGGAUUAGAAACCCCAGUAGUCC